UGCGCGUGCCGGCCUCGGUGGUCAGCCCCCCGCCACACCGCAGCGCUGUCAGCCGGUCUCGCGGAGGCGUUCACUUUGCUGCGUAAUGGUGUCGUUGGCAGUUGGGACCUCUCAUCUGCGCAACUGGAAGAGGGCACUGCAGGACUGGCGCUAUGACGGUAACGCAGUGGCUGAUGCUUCUGAUAGUCCAGGGGGCCACGGCCUUCGUGUGUCCGCCGCACGUCUGCGAAAACACCACGUGCCCGCAUGUCUCAGUCGAGACCUGCCACGGUCGGCUUAGCACUGAAGGCAGCUUCUGCGGGUGCUGCAUGAUCUGCGUCCCCGAAUUAGGUGAUUAUAUUUUGACAGGGGGCGGAAAGAAAGGUAGAGAGUGAGGAGGGUAGAUCUUCAUUCAAUUUCAUUUAUUUCUUGCGCUUCAGGCCCUUAGGCAUUGCAGAGGAGGACGGGGACGAUAACCAGAUGACAUAAAUAUGCACAAGCAAUUUUCUGUUAAUCAUCACAGUGCACUAUACGUGAUAAUGUAACACAGAAUAACAUAAGUGUGUACUCAUUAUUAUUAUAU